rnacentral:rRNA from 2 species
GGUUAAGUUAGAAAGGGCGCACGGUGGAUGCCUUGACACUAGGAGUCGAUGAAGGACGGGACUAACGCCGAUAUGCUUCGGGGAGCUGUAAGUAAGCUUUGAUCCGAAGAUUUCCGAAUGGGGAAACCCACCAUACGUAAUGGUAUGGUAUCCUUAUCUGAAUACAUAGGGUAAGGAAGACAGACCCAGGGAANUGAAACAUCUAAGUACCUG